rnacentral:miRNA from 1 species
UUUGGCACUUAAGGAAUCGUCAC